UACGAGGGGCCCAAACGUUAUUCGGAAUUACUGGGCUUAAAGAGUUCGUAGGCGGCGCGGAAAGUGGGGUGUGAAAGCCCUCGGCUCAACCGAGGAAUUGCGCUCCAAACUACCGUGCUUGAGGAAGCUAGAGGUGAGCGGAACUGAUGGUGGAGCGGUGAAAUGCGUUGAUAUCAUCAGGAACACCGGAGGCGAAGGCGGCUCACUGGGGCUUUUCUGACGCUGAGGAACGAAAGCCAGGGUAGCGAACGGG
rnacentral:rRNA from 1 species